AUUAUUUUUAUUGUUUUUCAUAUGCCACGUAUCAUUUAUUAUAGGAGACAAAGUACUUACCUUUACGAAAGAGGAGUGUUAUGCAUGCUGUAAUACUCUAACUACUAU